rnacentral:lncRNA from 1 species
CAGUAGCUCCAAAGAGCUAAAAUGAGGAGCAAAAAUGGUUAAAACCCAUCAUUAACGAAGCAGCAGCAGUAGCCUUGAAAAGGCUGAAAAUUGAUGAUUUUUGGACUCUCAAAAGUCCACUAAAACAGCAGCAACAACAGCUCAAAAUGCUGAAACAUGAAGAGCAAAAUUGGGUUAAAACCCAUAAGGAAUGGGGCAACAGUUCGCAACAAUUUCAGCCCCCAAAAUGGUCGAAUAUGGGCUGAAAAUUUCAGUUUUAUAAUUCACUGUUUAUGUUUAUUUNNN